UUUAAGUUUAUAUUAUUUUCCUAUCAUAUAGACUGACGUUUCAAUUUGUUACAGAUAUUCCAGAAGAAUAUCGACGUGAAUGUGGCAUAAUAGUCAUGACAGGAAGUUCAAGUGGAUCUCAAAACGGCACAAAGAGAUGGAUGACAUUCUUCGCCUUACUUUCAGUUUUGUUGUUACUUUCGGGAAUUCUAUAUAUUUACAAGAAACGAAGUUACUGCACAAUGGACUGAAUAUGAAAUUUACAUAAAUGGUAUAUGACUGCCAAACGAUAUGCCUAAAACAGAGAAAAUAAUUUUUACAUUCUUACUUAUUUCGUACUCUUUUUUUAUUUCUGACGCACAUGUGGAGUGACGUUACUACAUUACUUAAUUUAUCUGUCAAAUGUUAAAGCUCAUAUGCAAUUGCAUUACACUAUCGAGAUAUAGCAUUUACAUGUCUUUGAAUUAAUGUUAAGCAUGCUAGAUAGGAGAUUUAAAAAUUUUAAAAUAUAGAUUUA